GCGCCGCGCGCUACACUGAUGCAUUCAACAAGCCUAUCCUUGACCGAAAGGUCCGGGUAAUCUUUGAAACUGCAUCGUGAUGGGGAUAGAUUAUUGCAAUUAUUAGUCUUCAACGAGGAAUGCCUAGUAAGCGCAAGUCAUCAGCUUGCGUUGAUUACGUCCCUGCCCUUUGUACACACCGCCCGUCGCUCCUACCGAUUGGGUGUGCUGGUGAAGUGUUCGGAUUGGCAGCUUAGGGUGGCAACACCUCAGGUCUGCCGAGAAGUUCAUUAAACCCUCCCACCUAGAGGAAGGAGARGUCGUAACAAGGUCUCCGUAGGUGAACCUGCGGAGGGAUCAUUGAAUUAUUAAAACCACAACGUCAACCCGUUACCAUGCGCUUGACGUGCUAGUGGGGGCAUUCGGCUGAAUGCGUCUCACAGCUGGUUGGGAAUUGCUACCCACACCAGUGGCCGUCUCGGCAUGAGUGUUCCAUGCGUUUGGGUUGCCAGUGGCGGCCCCCGCAUGACUGUUCCGUGCGCUUGGCGUGUCGGUGGGGCAUUCGGGUUAUAAGCCCGUCUGCAUCUCACAGCUGGUUGGGAAAUGCUACCCAACCAGUGGCCGCCUUGGCAUGACCAUACACCAAGGGCCAACCGCUGAUUAAACCAAACUCUGAAGCUGUGACUGCUAUUUGAUUGGCAGUCUUAACCAAAGACAACUCUCAACAACGGAUAUCUUGGCUCUCGCAACGAUGAAGAACGCAGCGAAAUGCGAUACGUAGUGUGAAUUGCAGAAUUCCGUGAACCAUCGAAUCUUUGAACGCAUAUUGCGCUCGAGCCUUCGGGCGAGAGCAUGUCUGCCUCAGCGUCGGUUUACACCAUCACCCCCCAAAUUUCUUUUUGGGUGUGUCGGCAUUUAUUGCUGGCUGUAGGGGUGGAUCUGACUUCCCCAACCUGCAAUGCGUUUGGUUGGGCUAGUUGAAGUGCAGAGGCUUAAGCAAGGACCCAUUAAGGGCUUCAACUGGAUAGGUAGCACCGGCUUGUGCCGACUACACGAAGUUGUUGCUUGUGGAUCUUGCUGGUGCCAAGCAGGAACGUGCCAAAUGGCAUGUCUAAACUUUCGACCUGAGCUCAGGCAAGGCUACCCGCUGAACUUAAGCAUAUUCAAUAAGCGGAGGAAAAGAAACUAACAAGGAUGCGCUUAGUAACGGCGAGCGAACCGCGCACAGCCCAACUUGAAAAUCUCCCUCGGAGAAUUGUAGUCUAUAGAAGUACCCUCUGGCGACGGGCUGAGCUAAAGUCUCCUGGAAAGGGGCGUCAGAGAGGGUGAGAACCCCGUAAGCUCACGCUUGGUUGCCUCACGAGGUGCUUUCAAAGAGUCGGGUUGCUUGGGAAUGCAGCCCAAAUUUGGUGGUAAUCCCA
rnacentral:rRNA from 1 species